rnacentral:rRNA from 1 species
CCCUUAGAUGUCCUGGGCCGCACGCGCGCUACACUGACACGUGCAACAAGUACAUCCUGGUCCGAAAGGACUACGGGUAAUCUUUAUAGUACGUGUCGUGCUGGGGAUAGAUCUUUGCAAUUUUAGAUCUUGAACGAGGAAUUCCUAGUAAGCAUAAGUCAUCAACUUGUGCUGAUUACGUCCCUGCCCUUUGUACACACCGCCCGUCGCUCCUACCGAUUGAGUGGUUCGGUGAACUCUUCUGACUGCAACGCGUUCAGCUUCUGGAUGCAGUUGUGGAAAGUUUUGUAAACCUUAUCACUUAGAGGAAGGAGAANUCGUAACA